rnacentral:rRNA from 1 species
UACGGAGGGGGCAAGCGUUAUUCGGAAUUAUUGGGCGUAAAGGGCGCGUAGGCGGCUAGAUGUGUCAAAGGUGAAAUCCCUCGGCUCAACUGAGGAACUGCCUUUGAAACUGUCUGGCUUGAGGCCGGGAGAGGGUAGCGGAAUUCCCAGUGUAGCGGUGAAAUGCGUAGAUAUUGGGAGGAACACCAGUGGCGAAGGCGGCUACCUGGACCGGUUCUGACGCUGAGGCGCGAAAGCGUGGGUAGCAGACAGG